CGGGGCGUAGCGCAGAUUGGUAGCGCGCAUGGUUCGGGACCAUGAGGCCCCCGGUUCAAGUCCGGGCGCCCCGA
rnacentral:tRNA from 1 species